rnacentral:rRNA from 1 species
GAUGAACGCUGACGGAAUGCUUAACACAUGCAAGUCAACUUGAACUUCGGUUUGGGUGGCGGACGGGUGAGUAACGCGUAAAGAACUUGCCUCACAGAUAGGUACAACAUUUGGAAACGAAUGCUAAUACCUGAUAUUAUGAUUAUAUGGCAUCGUAUAAUUAUGAAAGCUAUAUGCGCUGUGAGAGAGCUUUGCGUCCCAUUAGCUAGUUGGAGAGGUAACGGCUCACCAAGGCGAUGAUGGGUAGCCGGCCUGAGAGGGUGAUCGGCCACAAGGGGACUGAGACACGGCCCUUACUCCUACGGGAGGCAGCAGUGGGGAAUAUUGGACAAUGGACCAAGAGUCUGAUACAGCAAUUCUGUGUGCACGAUGAAGUUUUUCGGAAUGUAAAGUGCUUUCAGUUGGGAAGAAAAAAAUGACGGUACCAACAGAAGAAGUGACGGCUAAAUACGUG